GAUGAAGAACGCAGCGAAAUGCGAUAAGUAAUGUGAAUUGCAGAAUUCAGUGAAUCAUCGAAUCUUUGAACGCACAUUGCGCCCGCCAGCACUCUGGCGGGCAUGCCUGUCCGAGCGUCAUUUAACCCUCAGGGCCCCUUCGGGGGACCUGGCGUUGGGGAUCGGCCCGCCCCCGUGCGGCGCCGUCCCCGAAAUAUAGUGGCGGUCUCGCUGCAGCCUCCCCUGCGUAGUAGCACACCUCGCACUGGAGAGCGGCGCGGCCACGCCGUGAAACCCCCAACUUCUGAAUGUUGACCUCGGAUCAGGUAGGAAUACCCGCUGAACUUAAGCAUAUCAAUAAGCGGAGGA
rnacentral:misc_RNA from 1 species